rnacentral:lncRNA from 1 species
AUGCGCGAGACACUCCCGGCCCCCCAACCCGGCUGCCAGGGGACUGGAAAAGGGCUUGCAAGAGAUCCGCUAAUCCAAACAUUUCAUUUUGUAGGAGAGGGAAAAAAUGGAGCCCUGGACAGAAGACAUUCAUUGGACAUGACUCUGGGAGCCAAUGGGAGAGCUGAGUCCAGAGCAUUGGUGAAAGUGGGAGGGGAGAGCCUGAGGGUGCCUCCAUCCCAGCUUCAAUCCUGCCUAGGAAUCAGAGUUCUCUGUGGGAUGGCUCAAGUCUGGGAUCUGGGGAGGAGGGAAGGGACAGCACUGGUGGAUGUCAAUGACCAAAGCCAUUGUCCAAGGAAAGGAUCCCCAGUGAGGAGAUUCAGUUUGCAAAGCUAGUGGGGAAGAGGAAUGGGGCUCUUUGCUUCCUGGCUUGUCUCUCAACUAACUCUGCCUCUGGGCUAGUGCUCUGUCUGGGACCUGAACCCUCCUUGGGUGGGAAAGUCUGAAACCCUUAGUGACACCUCUUAUCUUUCCUUAGGGGUGCUUCUCGAUGGAGACCCACAUUCACAUCUGAAAACAGACUCUUCCUAAGGGCUGGGUGACCGUGGGCAAAGCACUUUACCCCCAUUGCCCAGCCUUGAACAAUUUCCUGCCUGAGAACCAAUACACAGCAUUGAGUGGAAGAUGGAAGGUAAAGGGGGGGGGGGAUGAAAACUACAAAUCGCUUCAGGAAGUAUUCUACAAAUCAGCUUCAAGCUCACCAAGAACCUUCUUCUUGCCCUGGAUUUCUUGUUUGGAUCUGGGCCUCCAUUCUUCAACCAGAGUUCCUCAAAAUUCUCAGCCAUUUGGUCAGAACUUCUUUCUCUGACUAGUCACACUGUCUCUUCCUUGGCUUCUUCUUUCUUUUUUCUUCAUUUUUUCUUUUCAUCUCCUUCUGGCAUUCCUGGAAUUUUGCCUUCAACCUGGGGGCAUGUUGUGCCUUCAGGAAUCUUCUGGCCAGCAGCUCUGCUUUGGAAUUUGAUGGGCAGAGUGAGGCUGUGUGUUCCCAACACAAGGCCCGUCAUUGCCCUAACUGGGCUUCAGAUCCAGCAGUGG